rnacentral:rRNA from 1 species
GACGAACGCUGGCGGCGUGCCUAAUACAUGCAAUUCGAACGAGUGGCGGACGGGUGAGUAAUGUCUGGGAAACUGCCUGAUGGAGGGGGAUAAAUACUGGAAACGGUAGCUAAUACCGCAUACCAUCGGAUGUGCCCAGAUGGGAUUCGCUAGUAGGUGGGGUAAAGGCUCACCUAGGCGACGCUCCCUAGCUGGUCUGAGAGGAGGACCAGCCACACGGGAACUGAGACACGGUCCAGACUCCUACGGGAGGCAGCAGUGGGGAAUAGUGCACAAGUGGCGCAAGCCUGAUGCAGCCAUGCCGCGUGUAUGAAGAAGGCCUUCGGGUUGUAAAGUACUUUCAGUGGGGAGGCGUUACCCGCAGAAGAAGCACCGGCUAACUCCGUGCCAGCCGCCGCGGUAAUUC